rnacentral:rRNA from 1 species
GGCUCAGGAUGAACGCUGGCGGCGUGCCUAAUACAUGCAAGUCGAGCGAACUGAUUAGAAGCUUGCUUCUAUGACGUUAGCGGCGGACGGGUGAGUAACACGUGGGCAACCUGCCUGUAAGACUGGGAUAACUUCGGGAAACCGAAGCUAAUACCGGAUAGGAUCUUCUCCUUCAUGGGAGAUGAUUGAAAGAUGGUUUCGGCUAUCACUUACAGAUGGGCCCGCGGUGCAUUAGCUAGUUGGUGAGGUAACGGCUCACCAAGGCAACGAUGCAUAGCCGACCUGAGAGGGUGAUCGGCCACACUGGGACUGAGACACGGCCCAGACUCCUACGGGAGGCAGCAGUAGGGAAUCUUCCGCAAUGGACGAAAGUCUGACGGAGCAACGCCGCGUGAGUGAUGAAGGCUUUCGGGUCGUAAAACUCUGUUGUUAGGGAAGA